rnacentral:rRNA from 1 species
CUACGUAGGUGGCAAGCGUUGUCCGGAAUUAUUGGGCGUAAAGCGCAUGUAGGCGGUAAUUUAAGUCUGUCGUGAAACUGCGGGGCUCAGCCCCGUAUGGCGAUGGAAACUGGGUUACUUGAGUGCAGGAGAGGAAAGGGGAACUCCCAGUGUAGCGGUGAAAUGCGUAGAUAUUGGGAAGAACACCGGUGGCGAAGGCGCCUUUCUGGACUGUGUCUGACGCUGAGAUGCGAAAGCCAGGGUAGCGAACGGGAUUAGAUACCCCGGUAGUCCUGGCCGUAAACGAUGGGUACUAGGUGUGGGAGGUAUCGACCCCUUCCGUGCCGGAGUUAACGCAAUAAGUACCCCGCCUGGGGAGUACGGCCGCAAGGCUUAAACUUAAAGGAAUUGACGGGG